GAACGAGUUAUCUGAACCUUCGGGGGACGAUAACGGCGUCGAGCGGCGGACGGGUGAGUAAUGCCUAGGAAAUUGCCCUGAUGUGGGGGAUAACCAUUGGAAACGAUGGCUAAUACCGCAUAAUGCCUACGGGCCAAAGAGGGGGACCUUCGGGCCUCUCGCGUCAGGAUAUGCCUAGGUGGGAUUAGCUAGUUGGUGAGGUAAUGGCUCACCAAGGCGACGAUCCCUAGCUGGUCUGAGAGGAUGAUCAGCCACACUGGAACUGAGACACGGUCCAGACUCCUACGGGAGGCAGCAGUGGGGAAUAUUGCACAAUGGGCGCAAGCCUGAUGCAGCCAUGCCGCGUGUGUGAAGAAGGCCUUCGGGUUGUAAAGCACUUUCAGUCGUGAGGAAGGUAGUGUAGUUAAUAGCUGCAUUAUUUGACGUUAGCGACAGAAGAAGCACCGGCUAACUCCGUGCCAGCAGCCGCGGUAAUACGGAGGGUGCGAGCGUUAAUCGGAAUUACUGGGCGUAAAGCGCAUGCAGGUGGUUUGUUAAGUCAGAUGUGAAAGCCCGGGGCUCAACCUCGGAAUUGCAUUUGAAACUGGCAGACUAGAGUACUGUAGAGGGGGGUAGAAUUUCAGGUGUAGCGGUGAAAUGC
rnacentral:rRNA from 1 species